AACCAGAAUACUGGAAAUUUGGAGAAGAAGGAAACAAAUACUUCCGACAUGCAACUGGUCAGAUCUAUGCUAUCUCCAAGGACUUGGCCACAUACAUAUCAAUCAAUCAGCCUAUAUUGCACAAGUAUGCCAAUGAAGACGUGUCAUUAGGGGCCUGGUUUAUCGGUCUCGAAGUUGAGCACAUUGAUGAACGAACCAUGUGCUGUGGAACUCCUCCAGAUUGUGACUGGAAAGCUGAGGCAGGUAAUGUAUGUGUCGCCUCGUUUGACUGGAGCUGCAGUGGAAUUUGUAAAUCAGUAGAGAAGCUAAAAUAUGUCCACGAGAAAUGCGGUGAAGGGGAAGAAGCUCUUUGGAAUGCUCUCUUCUGAUUUGCGCGAGA
rnacentral:misc_RNA from 1 species